GUAUUCUUAGUUUUUUUCCUUUCCUUUUAACAAGGUGAUUACUCCCUCUCCUCCGUUCUCGCAGAUCUGGCUAAAAAAAUCUCGGCGGAUCAAUUGUCCGGCGCCCUUGCCCGAGGACCCCAUGAAACCCUUAUUGGUAGCCAUGUUGGUCGAGAAGCCGUACAUGGCUCUGAAGGAGAAGGACAACAAGAAGAAGGAGAAGAAAAAG
rnacentral:lncRNA from 1 species